UGAGUAACCUGCCCUGGACUUUGGGAUAACCCUCGGAAACGGGGGCUAAUACCGGAUAUGACACGCUCUCGCAUGGGAUGUGUGUGGAAAGUUUUUCGGUCUGGGAUGGGCUCGCGGCCUAUCAGCUUGUUGAUGGGGUGAUGGCCUACCAAGGCGACGACGGGUAGCCGGCCUGAGAGGGCGACCGGCCACACUGGGACUGAGACACGGCCCAGACUCCUACAGGAGGCA
rnacentral:rRNA from 1 species